UGUCCUUCAGAAUCAAAUUUGUUGCCGCAGUAUAUCGCGAAUUCAAAACACUUAAACAGCUGCGCUUAAAAUUCGCAUUAGGGCAUAUUACAAUCAUA
rnacentral:lncRNA from 1 species